rnacentral:rRNA from 1 species
GCACAAGCGGUGGACAUGUGGUUUAAUUCGACGCAACGCGCAGAACCUUACCAGCCCUUGACAUCCCGGUCGCGGACUCCAGAGACGGAGUUCUUCAGUUCGGCUGGACCGGAGACAGGUGCUGCAUGGCUGUCGUCAGCUCGUGUCGUGAGAUGUUGGGUUAAGUCCCGCAACGAGCGCAACCCCCGUCCUUAGUUGCUACCAUUUAGUUGAGCACUCUAAGGAGACUGCCGGUGAUAAGCCGCGAGGAAGGUGGGGAUGACGUCAAGUCCUCAUGGCCUUUAUGUCCAGGGCUACACACGUGCUACAAUGGCCGGUACAAACCGCUGCAACCCCGCGAGGGUGAGCUAAUCGGAAAAAGCCGGCCUCAGUUCGGAUUGGAGUCUGCAACUCGACUCCAUGAAGCUGGAAUCGCUAGUAAUCGUGGAUCAGCAUGCCACGGUGAAUACGUUCCCGGGC